CGGGUGAGUAACGCAUAGGUUAUGUGCCUCUUAGUUUGGGAUAGCCAUUGGAAACGAUGAUUAAUACCAGAUACUCCCUACGGGGGAAAGAUUUAUCGCUAAGAGAUCAGCCUAUGUCCUAUCAGCUUGUUGGUAAGGUAAUGGCUUACCAAGGCUAUGACGGGUAUCCGGCCUGAGAGGGUGAACGGACACACUGGAACUGAGACACGGUCCAGACUCCUACGGGAGGCAGCAGUAGGGAAUAUUGCUCAAUGGGGGAAACCCUGAAGCAGCAACGCCGCGUGGAGGAUGAAGGUUUUAGGAUUGUAAACUCCUUUUGUUAGAGAAGAUAAUGACGGUAUCUAACGAAUAAGCACCGGCUAACUCCGUGCCAGCAGCCGCGGUAAUACGGAGGGUGCAAGCGUUACUCGGAAUCACUGGGCGUAAAGAGCGCGUAGGCGGGAUAGUCAGUCAGGUGUGAAAUCCUAUGGCUUAACCAUAGAACUGCAUUUGAAACUACUAUUCUAGAGUGUGGGAGAGGUAGGUGGAAUUCUUGGUGUAGGGGUAAAAUCCGUAGAGAUCAAGAGGAAUACUCAUUGCGAAGGCGACCUGCUGGAACAUUACUGACGCUGAUUGCGCGAAAGCGUGGGGAGCAAACAGGAUUAGAUACCCUGGUAGUCCACGCCCUAAACGAUGGAUGCUAGUUGUUGGAGGGCUUAGUCUCUCCAGUAAUGCAGCUAACGCAUUAAGCAUCCCGCCUGGGGAGUACGGUCGCAAGAUUAAAACUCAAAGGAAUAGACGGGGACCCGCACAAGCGGUGGAGCAUGUGGUUUAAUUCGAAGAUACACGAAGACCCUUACCUAGGCUUGACAUUGAGAGAAUCCGCUAGAAAUAGUGGAGUGUCUAGCUUGCUAGACCUUGAAAACAGGUGCUGCACGGCUGUCGUCAGCUCGUGUCGUGAGAUGUUGGGUUAAGUCCCGCAACGAGCGCAACCCCCUUUCUUAGUUGCUAACAGGUUAUGCUGAGAACUCUAAGGAUACUGCCUCCGUAAGGAGGAGGAAGGUGGGGACGACGUCAAGUCAUCAUGGCCCUUACGCCUAGGGCUACACACGUGCUACAAUGGGGUGCACAAAGAGAAGCAAUACUGCGAAGUGGAGCCAAUCUUCAAAACGCCUCUCAGUUCGGAUUGUAGGCUGCAACUCGCCUGCAUGAAGCUGGAAUCGCUAGUAAUCGCAAAUCAGCCAUGUUGCGGUGAAUACGUUCCCGGGUCUUGUACUCACCGCCCGUCACACCAUGGGAGUUGUGUUUGCCUUAAGUCAGGAUGCUAAA
rnacentral:rRNA from 1 species